AACGUAGGAGGCGAGCGUUAUCCGGAUUUACUGGGCGUAAAGCGCGCGCAGGCGGCACAGCAAGUCGGACGUGAAAGCUCCUGGCUUAACUGGGAGAGGCCGUUCGGAACUGCUGAGCUUGAGGUUGGGAGAGGGGUGUGGAAUUCCCGGUGUAGUGGUGGAAUGCGUAGAUAUCGGGAGGAACACCAGUGGCGAAGGCGGCACCCUGGCCCACACCUGACGCUGAUGAGCGAAAGCGUGGGGAG
rnacentral:rRNA from 1 species